GCCCGUCUAGCUCAUUCGGGGUGCAAGACUCUUAAUCUUGUGGUCGUGGGUUCGAGCCCCACGGUGGGCG
rnacentral:tRNA from 2 species